rnacentral:rRNA from 1 species
GAUGGACCCGCGGUGCAUUAGCUAGUUGGUGAGGUAACGGCUCACCAAGGCAACGAUGCAUAGCCGACCUGAGAGGGUGAUCGGCCACACUGGGACUGAGACACGGCCCAGACUCCUACGGGAGGCAGCAGUAGGGAAUCUUCGGCAAUGGACGAAAGUCUGACCGAGCAACGCCGCGUGAGUGAAGAAGGUUUUCGGAUCGUAAAACUCUGUUGUUAGAGAAGAACAAGGAUGAGAGUAAAAUGUUCAUCCCUUGACGGUAUCUAACCGGAAAGCCACGGCUAGCUACGUGCCAGCAGCCGCGGUAAUACGUAGGUGGCAAGCGUUGUCCGGAUUUAUUGGGCGUAAAGCGAGCGCAGGCGGUUUCUUAAGUCUGAUGUGAAAGCCCCCGGCUCAACCGGGGAGGGUCAUUGGAAACUGGGAGACUUGAGUGCAGAAGAGGAGAGUGGAAUUCCAUGUGUAGCGGUGAAAUGCGUAGAUAUAUGGAGGAACACCAGUGGCGAAGGCGGCUCUCUGGUCUGUAACUGACGCUGAGGCUCGAAAGCGUGGGGAGCGAACAGGAUUAGAUACCCUGGUAGUCCACGC